GACCAUAUCACGUUGAAACUCCAGUCCCCGUACGAUCCCUGAAGUUAAGCAACGUCGAUCAUUACUUAGAUGGGUGACCGUUUGGUAAUACCAGAUGUUGUAAG